AUCUUUGUGCUCGGGUAUUACUGUCGUCAGUGAGGUCACGACCGAGACACAGUCAUUUUGCUGAUUGCAAAUUAUAAAUCCGAACCCGUCUAUUAGCUUCGGCUAUUAGCAAUUUUUGGAAACCACUUAGUACUACUCCUAGUCUAUUAUGCCAAGGAGG
rnacentral:snRNA from 1 species